CGAAAUUUAGAUAUUAAAAAAGUUUCUACUGGAAUCAACGGCACCGACCUUUCAAUAGUAAUUAGUAAGUGCUAUUUGUUGGGGUAGUUUGAAGUGA
rnacentral:pre_miRNA from 1 species